rnacentral:rRNA from 1 species
AGAGACAGCAGUACCGCGGUAAUACGUAGGGUGCAAGCGUUAAUCGGAAUUACUGGGCGUAAAGCGUGCGCAGGCGGUUUGUUAAGACAGAUGUGAAAUCCCCGGGCUCGACCUGGGAACUGCAUUUGUGACUGGCAAGCUAGAGUGUGGCAGAGGGGGGUGGAAUUCCGCGUGUAGCAGUGAAAUGCGUAGAUAUGCGGAGGAACACCGAUGGCGAAGGCAGCCCCCUGGGCCAACACUGACGCUCAUGCACGAAAGCGUGGGGAGCAAACAGGAUUAGAGACCCGCGUAGUCCCUGUCUCUUAUACA